UAGGUGUAUGUCGGCAGCUCUGGAAGGGGGUAUGCAAUAAGAUAAAUUUGGGAACCUCUGCUCUAGAGAAUGGGUGUCAAACUUGUUUGCCCCUCUGCAAGCUGAAUCCAGAUCACAGGACUGCCUGGCAAGCCAGAAGACCCACUAGUGGUGAUGUUAGUCCCUGAAGCUGCCAGAACUGCUAUUUUCUUGCCUUUCUGGAACCUAGGGAGUUAAUACCACUGCCACUUGCCCCCCUGUUCUCCUGCUGCCAUUCUUAGAACAUGUACAGACAUUUGCCCUAGAGAAGCACCCUGGGAGUGAUUUAAUGCUGGUGGUUCCUAGGUUAUAUUUCUCCUGCAUUGGCCAUUUUUGCCUUGAGAGAAAAAUCCUGAAUGUCUGUACACUCUUGGUUUCUCCAGGGAGAGCAAUGACUCUGCCAGGAGAAAUGGAAUGUCUGUACGUGGCCUUAGUACCAAAAUCCCUGAUUUUGGUGGCAGAUAAGGAGGCGAGUGACUUUGAAUCCCAGGUUCUAGAGCUGCUGAAACAGCAGCUCUGGCAGCUGCAGAGAUUAACCAUUGCCCACAGAGCCACAGCAAUGAGCCCUGUAGUCCAAGUCUACCCUGUGGAGGUGAGUGGUCCAGCUUGUGAGAAGCCAGUGGGCUGUACAACCCACCUCUGUGAAUGCUGUUUGACCCCCCUGCUCUAGAGGGAGACUAUGUGAACAGGAUAGGUCUCAAGUGCUCCACCCUCUGCUGUCCCUUCCA